CCGAUAUGGCUCAGUAGGUAGAGCGUCUCACUCGUAAUGAGAAGGUCAGGGGUUCGAAUCCCCUUAUCGG
rnacentral:tRNA from 1 species